rnacentral:rRNA from 1 species
UAGGGAAUCUUCGGCAAUGGACGGAAGUCUGACCGAGCAACGCCGCGUGAGUGAAGAAGGUUUUCGGAUCGUAAAGCUCUGUUGUAAGAGAAGAACGAGUGUGAGAGUGGAAAGUUCACACUGUGACGGUAUCUUACCAGAAAGGGACAGCUAACUACGUGCCAGCAGCCGCGGUAAUACGUAGGUCCCGAGCGUUAUCCGGAUUUAUUGGGCGUAAAGCGAGCGCAGGCGGUUAGAUAAGUCUGAAGUUAAAGGCUGUGGCUUAACCAUAGUACGCUUUGGAAACUGUUUAACUUGAGUGCAAGAGGGGAGAGUGGAAUUCCAUGUGUAGCGGUGAAAUGCGUAGAUAUAUGGAGGAACACCGGUGGCGAAAGCGGCUCUCUGGCUUGUAACUGACGCUGAGGCUCGAAAGCGUGGGGAGCAAACAGGAUUAGAUACCCUGGUAGUCCACGCCGUAAACGAUGAGUGCUAGGUGUUGGGUCCUUUCCGGGACUCAGUGCCACAGCUAACGCAUUAAGCACUCCGCCUGGGGAGUACNNNCGCAAGGUUG